GGGCCAGUGGCGCAACGGUUAGCGCUCGCGGCUUAUAUCCGCGUGGUUGGGGGUUCGAAUCCCUCCUGGCCCA
rnacentral:tRNA from 1 species